rnacentral:rRNA from 1 species
UGGGGAAUAUUGGACAAUGGGCGAAAGCCUGAUCCAGCCAUGCCGCGUGUGUGAAGAAGGUCUUCGGAUUGUAAAGCACUUUAAGUUGGGAGGAAGGGCAUUAACCUAAUACGUUAGUGUUUUGACGUUACCGACAGAAUAAGCACCGGCUAACUCUGUGCCAGCAGCCGCGGUAAUACAGAGGGUGCAAGCGUUAAUCGGAAUUACUGGGCGUAAAGCGCGCGUAGGUGGUUUGUUAAGUUGGAUGUGAAAUCCCCGGGCUCAACCUGGGAACUGCAUUCAAAACUGACUGACUAGAGUAUGGUAGAGGGUGGCGGAAUUUCCUGUGUAGCGGUGAAAUGCGUAGAUAUAGGAAGGAACACCAGUGGCGAAGGCGACCACCUGGACUAAUACUGACACUGAGGUGCGAAAGCGUGGGGAGCAAACA